rnacentral:rRNA from 1 species
GACGAACGCUGGCGGCGUGCUUAACACAUGCAAGUCGAACGGUGAAGCACCUUCCUUUUGGUGGGUGUGGAUGAGUGGCGAACGGGUGAGUAACACGUGAGUAACCUGCCCCCUUCUUCUGGAUAACCGCAUGAAAGUGUGGCUAAUACGGGAUAUUCUGUGCCUGCUGCAUGGUGGGUGUGGGAAAGAUGCGCUUUUGGGUGUUUUUGGUGGGGGAUGGGCUCGCGGCCUAUCAGCUUGUGGGUGGGGUGAUGGCCUACCAAGGCGGUGACGGGUAGCCGGGCGGAGGGGGUGGCCGGUCACACUGGGACUGAGACACGGCCCAGACUGCUACGGGAGGCAGCAGUGGGGAAUAUUGCACAAUGGGCGCAAGCCUGAUGCAGCGACGCCGCGUGAGGGAUGGAGGCCUUCGGGUUGUAAACCUCUUUCGCCAGUGAAGCAGGCCUGUCCCUUGUGGGUGGGUUGACGGUAGCUGGAUAAGAAGCGCCGGCUAACUACGUG